GUGUUUCAACCUAGUUUUGUUCCAUUAUGUGAUGGGAGUACGAGUUUGACCUACAAAGCAGGUGAUUUUGGAUGAGACGUUCACAGUGGCUUUGGCAGUCGCUGUAGAUGGAAUCUUCACUGGCAGAGGUGGAGGUGUUGACGAUCAUGUUCUCUCUCCUGGUUUUCGCCCUCUUCACACUCACUGGGAUGCUCAACGAGGACAGUGCACCCUCCAAUGGUAAAACUGGAAUCACGCACCAAAAUGAUACAGAGACAACAACGGCAGCUCAGGGAGUUGAAGAGAUCGUCUGACCACAGACGUCAUUGACAGAUGAUUAAGAAUGAAAAACUUCUAGCCAACCUCGUCCUUCCUGUUCUGUGGCAUAUGAGGACGUGGCAGCCAGAGCUUCGUAUUCAAUUGUGAUCAGUUACUAGAACAAAGUCUGAACAGUGACCUCUGAACGGGUGUGUGUGUGUGUACUUAGUUAUAGGAUCCGGUGCUAUUUUACCUCCAGGAUGAAGCAGGAGGAGUGGCUCUGAUGGCACAGUGUCAGAAAAAUCAAAUAAACAAACGCCUGCCUCAA